rfam:Cricetulus griseus cell line CHO-K1, whole genome shotgun sequence.
AUUGGGGUGGCAGAGCCCGGAUUACAUGAGACUUAAAACCUUGUUCUCAGAGGUUCAAAUCCUCUCCCCAAUA